AGGGUUGGGGAAGACAUUGUUUUGGGGAACUGAGGGUUGGUGGCAAUGGAUGGGAGUGCUUCCCAGUCCAUGUAGACUGAGGGUGGAGGAAGGGCAGCUUCCCCAAGCAGAGUCAAGACGCUAUUAUGAAGGGAAGGAUGAGUUAGGUCUUAACCAAUACCCAUCACAGAGCUGGAGCAGGAGAGAGAACGUCAAGAGAAAAGAGCUGGGGACCGAACCCAGGGCCUCGCGCUGGCUAGGCAAGCGCUCUACCACUGAGCUAAAUCCCCAACCCCUUUAAUUUUUUUCUAUUUGUUACCUUUUCUUAUCCCUUAGGUUACUAACUAACCUUUUCUUCUAUUACUGGGAUAAAAUAUUAAAUGGUGCUUUUGAGAAA